ensembl:lncRNA SDHAP4 SDHA pseudogene 4
AGUCUGCGCAGGGACUGGCGGGACUGCGCGGAGGCGACUGCAGACGUAUCGGGGGUCCGGAGCCUGUCGCGGCUGCUAAGCGCUCGGCGCCUGGCGCUGGCGCUGGCCAAGGCUUGGCCAACAGUGUUGCAAACAGGAACCCGAGGUGUUCACUUCACUGUUGAAGGAACGAGAGGGCAUCUGCUAAAGUUUCAGAUUCCAUUUCUGCUCAGUAUCCAGUAGUGGAUCAUGAAUUUGAUGCAGUGGUGGUAGGCGCUGGAGGGGCAGGCUUUGCGAGCUGCAUUUGGCCUUUCCGAGGCAGAGUUUGAUACAGCAUGUGUUACCAAGCUGUUUCCUACCAGGUCACACACUGUUGCAGCGCAGCUAGAAAAUUAUGGCAUGCCGUUUAGCAGAACUGAAGAUGGGAAGAUUUAUCAGCGUGCAUUUGGUGGACAGAGCCUCAAGUUUGGAAAGGGCAGGCAGGCCCAUCGGUGCUGCUGUGUGGCUGAUCGGACCGGCCACUCAAUAUUGCACACCUCAUAUGGGAGGUCUCUGAGAUAUGAUACCAGCUGUUUUGUGGAGUAUUUUGCCUUGGAUCUCCUGAUAGAGAACAGGGAGUGCCGUGGUGUCAUUGCACUGUGCAUAGAGGACGGGUCCAUCCAUCACAUAAGAGCAAAGAACACUGUUGUUGCCACAGGAGUCAAGAAACUUUUCUUUUGAGCUAUUGACAGCUUUUAACAAGUUAUUAUACUCCUAUGAACAAAAUUUGGAGCAUAUUUGUUUCUCUCUGCCUGAUUUCUCCUGAAUUUGGAAACUAUUUGUGAGUAUUCUUAACUUAUCGUAAUAUAGUUAUUUGCAUAAGUGCAAUAAUAAUCUGUUUUUAUUUGUAACAGGACACAAUUGAAGAAACUGGUUAUUCUACCAUGGCUUUGACUGGAAUGGUGUGCUUUCCUUUAAGGAAUUAAACUUGUUUUAUGAAGCCAGUAAAAGCCCCUUGGGAAAGCUGGCCAAAUACCCUGUCUACACAGUCCCUGAACAGGGUUCCUGAUCUGUGGUAAAUAAAGAAUGUCACUUUCUGACAGGCCCAGGAGCCCCAAGUUUUACCUCGGGACCUCAAAAGGAGAGGAAUUCAUGCAACUCAUAGGUAUUUGAUGGUACAAAUCCAUGGCAGGGCUCAGCUUUAAACAAGUCUUUUCUGAGAUUCCUUCUAUGGAAUAAAGUUCCAUCAAAGUCAAUUUAAAAGCCUGUGUAAAAAAAUAAUUAUUCUUGCUGCACUGUAUACAAAUAAUCAGGCCAAGUAUAAUAAAGGAAAUCAGUCGUACCAUGAUUUGUCUUUAGUAAAAAUGAGAAACUGGA